rnacentral:rRNA from 1 species
UACGUAGGUUGCGAGCGUUGUCCGGAAUUAUUGGGCGUAAAGAGCUUGUAGGCGGUCUGUCGCGUCUGCUGUGAAAAUCCGGGGCUCAACCCCGGACUUGCAGUGGGUACGGGCAGACUAGAGUGUGGUAGGGGAGACUGGAAUUCCUGGUGUAGCGGUGAAAUGCGCAGAUAUCAGGAAGAACACCCGUGGCGAAGGCGGGUCUCUGGGCAGUAACUGACGCUGAGGAGCGAAAGCGUGGGGAGCGAACAGG